UGCGCGCCGCCCGCCUGAGGGGCGGCCCGGGAGCACCGGGAAUAGCGGGAAUAGCGGGUGCUUUCCGGGCACACACCGGCAGCCCCGGGCACAGCCCGCCGGCCACGAAGGCCAGGCACACCGGGCGCAUCAGCAGUGGCACCGGGCACCCCAACACCGGGCACGCCGGGUGUCGCCGAGCACCGGGAAGACGAGGCACCGCGGGUACACCACACCGGCCCUGGCCUCCCGCAGGCACCGGGCUCUGUGGUGCUUUCCGAGUGUCCCUCCCCAGGAAUCCCUUCCCGGGACAGCUGUGUUUUACUGGCCUUCCUUGCAAUAUCAUUGCUUGAUACUAGAGUGGAAAGAAGUCCCAGCUGCCAGCACGGCUGAAUGGUUGCCAAUGUAACCAUAAUUGAAAAAAACAAACCAAACAACAAAACCAAACCAGACAGUGUUGGGAAGGGUGACUGACUGACCGUGUGCCAGAAUAACGGAGUUAGCUGCCACGUACAUCGGUCGUGGAGGUGCAGCCCCUGGGCCUCUGAACGACUGCAAGGUGUGUGAGGGCUCCAGCUGCAUGUACUGCUACUCCAGGGAGCAAGAACAGUGUAAAAGAUAACACUUUGUCACCGUUUGACACAGAGCUCCUUGUUCAUUGCCCUGCGAGGGGAGCUCGGGAUGCAGGCAGCUCUCUGCUGUCACCUGCAGAAUGGCAUGUGGUACCUGUGCAUAACAUGCAGGGGCACAGCCUCCCUCUUGUUCCCUGUUGCUACUGCAGCCUUGAGGUUUUGUGGGAAAGCCUGUUCUAAAAUUGCUCAUAAAUGGGUUUUCUGGCUGUUACAUUAAGCUGGAUUACACAGCAUACCACAUUGAUUUUUAGAUUUGAGAGUGCUGAAUAAUUUAUGUGCACAUUGCCUCCCAAACCAGACUGUGGCUGUGACAGCCCUGGCCCUUCCCAGAGCAGACACUGACAACUGUGGUAGGAUACAGCCAAACUAUCAAUUCUCUUACAUUUUAGUAUCUGCUCUUAAAAAGGCAGGUCAUUUCUAUCAUCAUUUUGUUACUGAGGCUUUAUUUUAAAGUGUCCAGGAGUGUUAUCCCACUGCAAGCACAAAGCAUGAUUUUUAGAGCUACUGUUCCUUAAAACGUGCUUUUGCUAUCAUUCCAUUUUAACAUGGCCAUAUAUAACGAUAUCCAAUUGUUUGAUACAAGCAUGAGUACACAGAAACAGCAAAAGGAAGAUUGUCUUUUUAUGAACCAUGAAGCUGUUUAUCAUAUAUCUAAAUAAAACCCUUUUUCAGACCUCUUAUCAAAUUGAAUUGGCUUGUGCCAUUCAAGCACUUCUAUUUUUCACAUGUAUAUUGUAGAAUACAUUUAAAAAUAAAAGUGGAUGUUGGCACAGAA